rnacentral:rRNA from 1 species
CAGUCGCCGCGGUAAAACGAAGGGUGCAAGCGUUACUCGGAAUUACUGGGCGUAAAGCGUGCGUAGGUGGUGGUUUAAGUCCGUUGUGAAAGCCCUGGGCUCAACCUGGGAAUUGCAGUGGAUACUGGAUCACUAGAGUGUGGUAGAGGAUAGUGGAAUUUCCGGUGUAGCAGUGAAAUGCGUAGAGAUCGGAAGGAGCAUCUGUGGCGAAGGCGACUAUCUGGGCCAACACUGACACUGAGGCACGAAAGCGUGGGGAGCAAACAGGAUUAGAUACCCGGGUAGUCCCUGUCUCUUAUAA